rnacentral:lncRNA from 1 species
GUUUACUUUAAAAAAUCAAGCCUGGCUUGAAAACAGAGGCCAGUGGAUACUUGUUGGCAGCCUUCUCUGACAGAGCCUGCACCAGCAUCAAGGGCCUGAUUGGAGUCCCCACCCACCGCAUGGCCAAAAGCAAAUUCUAAUCAGGAGACAAAAUCACAUGGAAGGCAGAAAGUAUGGAAAAGGGGCCAUCUACUAUGAAAAAGAUGCGGGUACAAUUUGUGAGACUUCAGGGCGAGUUUUCAUCGGCAGCAAGAACUACCUGUCCUGUCUGCUGCAGCUCAGAGAUCCAGUGGCCAUCCUUGUGCAGGAAAUGGAAGCAGCCUCCUUAUAACCCCCAUUAAUGUAGAUGCCUGUGAACACCAAUGGAGAACAUCUGAUCCAUUGGAGUUGAAGUUAGAACUACGUGCUCUUAAUGACUGCACCAUCUCUCUGGUCCUAUCUUAUUCUUCUCUGACAGACACCAGAUGGACAUUCAUCAAUGCAUAAAUGCAAAGUGCACCUUAUAAAUCCAAUGACCUUAUCCUCUUCCUCCUCAGCAAGAG